rnacentral:rRNA from 1 species
AUUGAACGCUGGCGGCAUGCCUAACACAUGCAAGUCGAACGGUAACAGGCCCUUCGGGGUGCUGACGAGUGGCGGAUGGGUGAGUAAUACUUAGGAAUCUACCCUGUAGGUGGGGGACAACCCGGGGAAACUCGGGCUAAUACCGCAUACGCUCUACGGAGGAGAGCGGGGGACCGCAAGGCCUCGCGCUAUUGGAUGAGCCUAAGCCCGAUUAGCUAGUUGGUGGGGUAAUAGCCACCAAGGCAAUGAUCGGUAGCUGGUCUGAGAGGACGACCAGCCAUACUGGGACUGAGACACGGCCCAGACUCC